UUCUUUUCUACAUAACAAGAUCUGUGUUCAGCGAUCCUGGCGUCUCCUUCGGGGGUCUGUCCGGUUGAUUGCUGUCCAGCUCGACUUUUAUGGAGCCAUCAGACUAUUGUGAUGUCAAUUUUCCGGUCGACAGAUUUGAGAACAAUGUGGCCCUGGGACAGCACCUGAGCUCGCUACGGCUGAGCUCGGUGUGUAACCUUGGUCAAGAGCGUCAUAUUCCUGAUCCCUUCGCUGAGGCCGUCGGCUUGUGAAGUUGGGGAAAAACCAUGACUUGCUUACAUCU
rfam:Aureobasidium pullulans var. pullulans EXF-150 unplaced genomic scaffold scaffold_25, whole genome shotgun sequence.